rnacentral:rRNA from 1 species
AGCGAACGCUGGCGGCAGGCCUAACACAUGCAAGUCGAACGGACCCUUCGGGGUUAGUGGCGGACGGGUGAGUAACACGUGGGAACGUGCCUUUAGGUUCGGAACAGCUCCUGGAAACGGGUGGUAAUGCCGAAUGUGCCCUUCGGGGGAAAGAUUUAUCGCCUUUAGAGCGGCCCGCGUCUGAUUAGCUUGUUGGUGGGGUAAUGGCCCACCAAGGCUACGAUCAGUAGCUGGUCUGAGAGGAUGACCAGCCACAUUGGGACUGAGACACGGCCCAAACUCCUACGGGAGGCAGCAGUGGGGAAUCUUGCGCAAUGGGCGAAAGCCUGACGCAGCCAUGCCGCGUGUAUGAUGAAGGUCUUAGGAUUGUAAAAUACUUUCACCGGUGAAGAUAAUGACUGUAGCCGGAGAAGAAGCCCCGGCUAACUUCGUGCCAGCAGCCGCGGUAAUACGAAGGGGGCUAGCGUUGCUCGGAAUUACUGGGCGUAAAGGGAGCGUAGGCGGACAUUU